rnacentral:rRNA from 1 species
AACGAACGCUGGCGGCAGGCCUAACACAUGCAAGUCGAGCGAGGACUUCGGUUCUAGCGGCGGACGGGUGGGUAACGCGUGGGAAUGUGCCCUUCUCUACGGAAUAGCCCUGGGAAACUGGGAGUAAUACCGUAUACGCCCUAUUGGGGAAAGAUUUAUCGGAGAAGGAUCAGCCCGCGUUGGAUUAGGUAGUUGGUGGGGUAAUGGCCUACCAAGCCGACGAUCCAUAGCUGGUUUGAGAGGAUGAUCAGCCACACUGGGACUGAGACACGGCCCAGACUCCUACGGGAGGCAGCAGUGGGGAAUCUUAGACAAUGGGGGCAACCCUGAUCUAGCCAUGCCGCGUGAGUGAUGAAGGCCUUAGGGUUGUAAAGCUCUUUCAGCUGGGAAGAUAAUGACGGUACCAGCAGAAGAAGCCCCGGCUAACUCCGUG